AGUGAACGCUGGCGGUAGGCCUAACACAUGCAAGUCGAACGGCAGCACAGUAAGAGCUUGCUCUUACGGGUGGCGAGUGGCGGACGGGUGAGGAAUACAUCGGAAUCUACUUUUUCGUGGGGGAUAACGUAGGGAAACUUACGCUAAUACCGCAUACGACCUACGGGUGAAAGCAGGGGAUCUUCGGACCUUGCGCGAUUGAAUGAGCCGAUGUCGGAUUUGCUAGUUGGCGGGGUAAAGGCCCACCAAGGCGACGAUCCGUAGCUGGUCUGAGAGGAUGACCAGCCACACUGGAACUGGGACACGGUCCAGACUCCUACGGGAGGAAGCAGUGGGGAAUAUUGGACAAUGGGCGCAAGCCUGAUCCAGCCAUACCGCGUGGGUGAAGAAGGCCUUCGGGUUGUAAAGCCCUUUUGUUGGGAAAGAAAAGCAGCAGGUUAAUACCCCGAUGUUCUGACGGUACCCAAAGAAUAAGCACCGGCUAACUUCGUG
rnacentral:rRNA from 1 species